UGAGACCGUGGGGGCUAAGCUUCACGGUCAAAAGGGAAACAACCCAGACCAUCGGCUAAGGUCCCUAAAUCGAGACUAAGUGGCAAAGGAGGUCACUUUGCUUAGACAACCAGGAGGUGGGCUUAGAGGCAGCCACCCUUUAAAGAGUGCGUAACAGCUCACUGGUCGAGUGAAGUGGCGCCGAAAAUGAUCGGGGCUCAAGUCUCGUACCGAAGCCAUGGAGCGCGCAGCAAUGCGCGUUGGUAGAGGAGCGUUGUGCGGGCGGUGAAGCAUGAACGUAAGUCCGUGUGGAGCGCGCACAAGUGCGAAUGCCGGCACAAGUAGCGUAAAGGUCGGUGAGAAACCGGCCCGCCGUAAAUCUAAGGUUUCCUGGGCAACGUUAAUCGUCCCAGGGUUAGUCGGGCCUAAGCCGAGGCCGAAAGGCGUAGGCGAUGGACAACUGGUGCAUAUUCCAGUACCACCUCGCGUUCGUUACCACCGAUGGAGGGACGAAGGAGGGUAGGUCAACCGGUCGAUUGGAUGUGGCCGGCCAAGGCUGUAGGUAGCCCGGAUAGGCAAAUCCGUUCGGGCGUUAAUCUGAGAGCCGAUGGGGAGCUCCGGGCAACCGGAGCGAAGUGACUGAUCCCAAGCUUCCGAGAAAAGCUUCUAGGGAGAAUGCAGGUGCCCGUACCGCAAACCGACGCUGGUAGAUGGGAAGAGGAUUCCAAGGCGAUCGAGAGAACUCUGCCUAAGGAACUCGGCAAAAUAGCCCCGUAACUUCGGGAGAAGGGGUGCCCUUGGCCGUGUAGGAACUUGCUUCCGAAGCGGUCGAGGGUCGCAGCUAAGAGGCUCAACCGACUGUUUACUAAAAACACAGGUCUCUGCGAAACCGAAAGGUGACGUAUAGGGGCUGACGCCUGCCCGGUGCCGGAAGGUUAAGGAGAGGGCUGAGAGGCCUGAACUGAAGCCCCGGUAAACGGCGGCCGUAACUAUAACGGUCCUAAGGUAGGAAAAAAGCUGCCUUACCCAUGGGUGACCAUGGGGUUGAAAAGCAUCUGGCUAUUUGCUGGAAAAACUGGUGUAUCCGCCGGUACUCGUCGCGCGCAGACGCGCGCGUCAGUGACAAUCCGAGCGGUGCAGAAAAUCAGCAGGAAAGGCUGGCUCCCUUUGUUUGGAAGUCAGAAUCCUCAGAGACCAUACGCCAGACAUCUCGGCACAGCUGAGAUGAAGAUAUGGUCCCAUCUGCAUGGCGACAUGCAGCGAGCGGUGGAACGCCACCAUCGUUCACUCAAUCAAACGUGAUUGGGAAGAGCAUCAGCGAAAUUCCUUGUCGGGUAAGUUCCGACCCGCACGAAUGGCGUAACGAGUUGAGCGCUGUCUCGGGCAGAGACUCGGCGAAACUGCAAUACCUGUGAAGAUACAGGUUACCCGCGGCAGGACGGAAAGACCCCGUGGAGCUUUACUGCAACUUGGCAUUGAAUUGGGGCUUAGCCUGUAGAGGAUAGCUGGGAGACUAUGAAGCUCGGGCGCCAGCUCGGGUGGAGUCAACCUUGGAAUACCAGCCUGGUUAAGUCUCAGUUCUAACAGGGACCCUGAUCGGGUUUCUGGACAGUGCCUGGUAGGCAGUUUGACUGGGGCGGUCGCCUCCCAAAGAGUAACGGAGGCGCCCAAAGGUUCCCUCAGCCUGGAUGGAAAUCAGGCAUAGAGUGCAAUGGCACAAGGGAGCUUGACUGUGAGACUUACUAGUCGAGCAGGGACGAAAGUCGGGCAUAGUGAUCCGACGGCCCGGAGUGGAAUGGCCGUCGCUCAACGGAUAAAAGUUACCCCGGGGAUAACAGGCUUAUCGGGCCCAAGAGUUCACAUCGACGGCCCGGUUUGGCACCUCAAUUUGGGGUGACACGGCAGAAAUGCCGUGCAAGAAUCGGCUUAUAACGGUGAACCCCUAACCGCUGCUCAGCGGUGGGCGAUACCGUGGGAAGUCUGUCGGAAGCCGGCCAGCUGAAUGUUUCAGAUGGCUUCCGCAAGUGACCCCGUAACGACUGUGGUCGGAAACGACCACGGUGGCGGCUCCUGCCCAGCAGGUUGGGCAAAUUCAUAGCCGUCACAACACGCCGACCCCUCGCUUUGGUCGAGCAGGGUGAAGAUAUAGUCUGCGCUGCCGGAAACGGCAGAGAACGCGCGAUGUCGGCUCGUCGCAUCCUGGGGCUGGAGUCGGUCCCAAGGGUUGGGCUGUUCGCCCAUUAAAGCGGUACGCGAGCUGGGUUUAGAACGUCGUGAGACAGUUCGGUCCCUAUCCGCCGUGGGCGUAGGAGACUUGAGGAGGUUUGACCCUAGUACGAGAGGACCGGGUUGAACGGACCGCUAGUGUACCGGUUGUCGCGCCAGCGGCAGCGCCGGGUAGCCAUGUCCGGUUUGGAUAAGCGCUGAAAGCAUCUAAGCGCGAAGCCAGCUUCGAGAUAAGGUCUCCCACCGGAUAACCGGGUAAGGCCCCUGGUAGACCACCAGGUUGAUAGGCCGCAGGUGUAAGAGGAGUGAUCCUUUGAGCUGAGCGGUACUAAUAGGCCGAGGGCUUGUCCACCUAUAAC
rnacentral:rRNA from 1 species